AUUGAACGCUGGCGGAAUGCUUUACACAUGCAAGUCGAACGGCAGCACGGACUUCGGUCUGGUGGCGAGUGGCGAACGGGUGAGUAAUGUAUCGGAACGUGCCCAGUCGUGGGGGAUAACGUAGUGAAAAUUACGCUAAUACCGCAUACGAUCUAUGGAUGAAAGCAGGGGAUCGCAAGACCUCGCGCGAUUGGAGCGGCCGAUAUCAGAUUAGGUAGUUGGUGGGGUAAAGGCCCAUCAAGCCAACGAUCUGUAGCUGGUCUGAGAGGACGACCAGCCACACUGGAACUUAGACACGGUACAGACUCCUACGGGAGGCAGCAGUGGGGAAUUUUGGACAAUGGGCGAAAGCCUGAUCCAGCCAUUCCGCGUGCAGGAUGAAGGCCCUCGGGUUGUAAACUACUUUUGUACAGAACGAAAAGGUUUCUACUAAUACUGGGAGCUCAUGACGGUACUGUAAGAAUAAGCACCGGCUAACUACGUGCCAGCCGCCGCUGUAA
rnacentral:rRNA from 1 species